rnacentral:lncRNA from 1 species
AAAUACCAACAUUACAUGAUUUAACUAAACUGAAUAGAUUGUCGUAAUGUAACUGUUAACAACUUUACAUUAGAACCAUGGUAACUAAUAAAUACAUGUACAUGUGGCAUAUUCCUAUAUAAUAGUUUCUUAAACUGGAAAUAGGUAAUCAUGAACAGACUUCCAUAAUCUCGCUGAUUCGUCCAGUGCUCAACUUCUUGAACGAACAACCUGUUACCUAUAAUCAAUAAUCGUGGGGUGAGACUACUAAGCCUCAGUGAAUUUCUUACUACCCACUACUUGGUGUGCUAACACCGGGGGUCAUGAAAAUAGCUGAUCACUGAGAAACAUAUAUUCAUUAAAGAAUAACAUAACAUAAAUAAAAGUGUAUCACACAAAUAUAAUCUUAUUCAUUUUACAGGAAGCUUUCGAGGUGAGUAUGUCUCGAAAGGUCCACUAAGGAUGUUCUCCACUCAGGAUGUCCUCCACUUAGGAUGUUCUCCUCUACCCGUAAUGACAUAGCUAUGCCACGUUGGUCUUACUCACAUUAAUUACUUAACAGAUUUUCACUAAUGUACGGAAAACCUCUCAUAGCAUAAAGCUGUACUAAUAAGUGGUUUGGGAAUUAACCACUAUUGAUCAACUAUUCUAAUCAACUAACUUAACAUAAUAACCCAUUCCCGGGGAGCUUACAUGCAUAGUUCUAGUUUUGAUUUCUACUUAUACUCAUAUUUUAGAGCAUGUACGUUUCGGUUCCAUCCAAGAUGAUUAGGUACUUCGUAUUUUAAAACUGUUUUGCACCGGCUCAAGAUGGACUUACACCGGUGCAUUAGUGCUUCUGGAUAGUUAGGGACUAUUCUGAGUUUUUCUUCCAUCGAUUCAAAAGUACUAAAAAUAUCUUGAUUUUCCUGGAGACCUUGUAUCGACUCAAGCCAUGCUUGCACCGGUUCAACUUACCCAGAAUUUCCAAUCUGCACUCUGUGACCUCUUGCACCGGUUCAUCAUAAUAAUUUACCGGCUCAACAUGCCAAGACUGCCCAUUGUACUCAUUCCUGGACUGGUUGAACAGGCUCAACCAAGUCUUGCACCAAUGCAAGAUCGUGAAAAAGUGUGGAAAACCUAUAGAAUCAUACUCCAAACAGCCCUAGUUGUCUCUAACCAUUUCUAACACCCUAAUCAUCAUAGAUAUAACCAACACAGUCACAUACAAUGGGGAAUUAAGUUCAAUUUCAUUAUUAAUCCAUUUAUGAGUUGUCUAAAUUGCUAAUCAUGUUAUAAACAUAAAUAAUGAAAUCAAAACCCUAUGCUUUGGACUUAUGGUUGCCAUGUCUCUACUUAAAGAAACCCACCUGAAAUUGAAGUUGAACCGCACUAUCAACAUCUCCGGAACUCGCCAAAAUGCAGAAUUUGCAUAUAAGGUACUUCAAAUUCGUAUAGAGAAUUUUCUGCAUAAAAUCCAUAUCAAACCCUCAACUUCAGAAGCCUUCCGAGAAUUCAAUAUUUAUCACCAAAUUACAAAUUUGGUACUCAAUCGAAGGGAAUUUCGUCAGCUUUCCAUAGGAACAAACGGAAUUUAAAUCGGAGUUACCAGGAGUGAGUACUGACCGUUUUAGUGGAGACAUAUCCUCAAACACGAAAAUCACAUAAUUUCCUCCAAAACUUGAAAUACACAAGCCCAAGUGAAAUCUACACAUGCAGUGGCUAGAGCUUAGUUUACAACACUCCAAAGCUUGAAUCAAAAGAGGAAUUUCAAUCAUCCAUGACUUGAAAUUGUGAAAUUAUGAAAGAUUGAAGAUUUGGGGUUUCAACUAAAACAAGGAGAAAUGGUGAAAUCAAGAGGUUUCUUCUUCUAUUGAUUGUCCCUUAACAAUCUAGCUUCAUGAUUAUGCAAGGUAAUCUCACAUGCAAAUAUGAUAAAAGGAAAUGGGUUGGUUUUUUUGCCCUUUGAAGAAGAAGAAUACGAGAGAGAAGUUGUUGUUGUUGCUGAGGACGUGAGAGAGAGAAAUAGAG